UUUAAAGUCUUACUUGAACUUGCAAACUAAAACUCUAUUCAAUUUGGGGAAUUUGAGAUGCCGGAUGAGAAACACUUCACAUCUGUACAGCGGCGUGAAAACUUCCAAAUCUUAAAAUAAUAACAAAAUGUUAUGCAACAACUUAAAAAAGUCUUGACUUAUUGCUCUUUAAUCUUUCUUUAUUGGGACCCUAAUGCACCUUGGCAUCGGAAACUAGUUCACAAAGCAAAUAUGACUGGUCAUAGCUCAUGCCUAAAUCUUCUAAACUUCUAACCACCAAGGGGAAAAAAGAAUUUUCAAGUGCAGAAAACUUUAGCUAACAUCGGAAAUCUAGCACUAGCACACUUUGUUGCUCUGACUAUUCAUUUUUCUAGAAGUAUCCAUGUUUGAUGCAUAUCCAGACAUGGUAAUAACGAAAUCUGUACAGCAGUGUGAAAACUUCCAAAUCUUAAACAGAAAAUAAUAACGAACUGUUAUGCAACAAAUUAAAAAAGCCUCGACUUAUUGCUCUUUAAUCUUUCUUUAUUGGGACCCUAACGCACCUUGGCAUCGGAAACUAGUUCACAAAGCAAAUAUGACUGGUCAUAGCUCAUGCCUAAAGCUUCCCAACUUCUAACCAGCAAGGGGAAAAAAAGAACUUUCAAGUGCAGAAAACUUUAGCUAACAUUGGAAAUCUAGCACUAGCACACUUUGUUGCUC
rnacentral:lncRNA from 1 species